GAAAGUACUGGUACUGUGGUAGUUGUUUGGCCCACCCAGCUCCAGGACUUUUUCUUUCUUGUGACAAGGUUUCGUCUAUUCUCGUCACUGAAUUUCCGAUUCUAUCAUGUCGUUUACUGGUAAGAUCGAUGAUGUGUUGUUGGAAUGCUCGAAUGCCGUUGACAAAUGGCAUGCAGUUCAAGGAGAGAGUCUGCAGUAUUUCUCUACAUUGAUCAACAUCAAAAAGCAGCUUGACUCAUUGUUAGCUCCUUCUGUUGAGAAAACAUUAGUUUUGAAUAACCUCGCCGAUGUAGUGGAUCAGCUUCUUGUCAAAGAAGUACAUGCUUUCAACAAUCUGGUCGUGAAAAUACAGCGCAAUGUAGAAGUAUUUUUAUCCGUUGUUGCCACCAUGAAGCGCCUCAGAAAACGUGCCUGGAGGUUAUACAACCAAGGAGAUAUUCCUGUGACAGCCUGUGUAGAAUCUUCUGCAACCUCCUUCAGUAUUUGUGAAAAGCUCUCUUGGAUUGAUAUUCUUGAAAGACUCUACAGUGAGGAAGUUGCUGUCAAGGAGGGUCUUCUGUCUUCCAUCACCGGAGAACUGUCUGCGUCCUCUCUGUCGGAGUUGAUGGAGCAAUGGAAGCGUGAGCAGUGUCUGAUCACCACCAUUGAUGUUGUGGAGCGUAUGCGUUACUCUGCGCAGCCAUGGUUAAAUAAGUGAGUGCCAAGGUUCAAUGCACCCCAGGCUGUGAGGUCACUGGCAGUGUGUACUAUGCUGCAGCACAAGACAACACGCAGCCUGCCGCCCCUAGAGCAAGGCUAACCCAUGGCAACCAGCCCUACCAGUGGCAAAAUGCACAAUCUCCAUCCGUUGUGUUAUGCAUCGGCCCCAUACUCCAUACAGGACACGUGUACGGUUGUGUGUACUGAUAGUACAAUGCAAUGGCACAGAUUAUGAUUCAUAUGAAGGAUCGGUCUGGACUGCAACAUCGGCAGCGGACCCAUGGUCACGGUGUGAGGGUGUGACAAUGGUGAAUGGUAAGAGAUGUCUGCUGCGCAUCGGUCCUUGCUGGUGAGGUGUAAUAGCAGUUUGUUUGCCUAUGUCUAUGACAACCACUUGCACUAGCAAGUACGCUGUAGCUGCCAUGAUGCCCAAACCUCUAGACAGCUGCUUUCAGUCUGGUGCUAUGAGUUUGAAGAGUUGCUGUGUCUUCAGCUGACCAUGUCUGUAUCUACUUCAUGCUAGUGGACCUGUGCCAGUGGAACUGUACUACUUCUUCUCUGUAGAGGCGGCUGUGCAGGCGUGGUGCAUGCUAGUACUGGCAGACAUUUCAUGCCUGGCAUUGUCACCGUGGAACUUUUCUGAUCAGCCCGUAUGAUUACGUCUUCUUCUCCGAAAGGUUUCAACCUAAUUCUCAUGGCUGCUAUCAAAUACUAUGCUAGUGUGUUCUUGUUUGAGCAUAGCACCAGACCAGAUAUUCUUUUGAUGAGGAUUGCCUGAGGGCAUCUGUAAAGAUGGAUUCAAUAUACAUACUGGUAUGUAGGUGUUGCCACACAUUCACAGUGAACACCAUGCCAGGCUGGAUUUAACAUAUUAUCAAGAAGCAUGCUUAUUUCUUUGCUUACAAAGGCUUUUGGUCAGCACCAUGCAUACAGCCAUGCGUUCAACAACAGUAUCUUGGCGUAUCGAUUUUAAUUGCAAGGUCGUCAAGUACAUCAAGGAA